GCGAGUGGCGAACGGGUGAGUAAUAUAUCGGAACGUACCCUGGAGUGGGGGAUAACGUAUCGAAAGUUACGCUAAUACCGCAUACGAUCUAAGGAUGAAAGUGGGGGAUCGCAAGACCUCAUGCUCCUGGAGCGGCCGAUAUCUGAUUAGCUAGUUGGUAGGGUAAAAGCCUACCAAGGCAUCGAUCAGUAGCUGGUCUGAGAGGACGACCAGCCACACUGGAACUGAGACACGGUCCAGACUCCUACGGGAGGCAGCAGUGGGGAAUUUUGGACAAUGGGCGCAAGCCUGAUCCAGCAAUGCCGCGUGAGUGAAAAAGGCCUUCGGGUUGUAAAGCUCUUUUGUCAGGGAAGAAAAGGCUAUGGAUAAUACCUGUGGCUCAUGACGGUACCUGAAGAAUAAGCACCGGCUAACUACGUGCCAGCAGCCGCGGUAAUACGUAUGGUGCAAGCGUUAAUCGGAAUUACUGGGCGUAAAGCGUGCGCAGGCGGUUUUGUAAGACUGUCGUGAAAUCCCCGGGCUCAACCUGGGAAUGGCGAUGGUGACUGCAAGGCUAGAGUUUGGCACAGGGGGGUAGAAUUCCACGUGUAGCAGUGAAAUGCGUAGAUAUGUGGAGGAACACCGAUGGCGAAAGCAGCCCCCUGGGUCAAAACUGACGCUCAUGCACGAAAGCGUGGGGAGCAAACAGGAUUAUAUACCCUG
rnacentral:rRNA from 1 species